rnacentral:misc_RNA from 1 species
CAAACCUCAAGCUCACGCUUGGUGUUGGGCGUCGUCCGCAAGGACGUGCCUGAAACCCGUAGGCAGCGGUGCCCGUCUCCCAGCGUAGUCAAGUUACCCGCUUCGGAGCGCGCGGCAUCGCCCGCCGGACGAACAAUCAUAUUCUUCUAUG